rnacentral:rRNA from 1 species
AACUGACGCUGAGGCUCGAAAGCAUGGGUAGCAAACAGGAUUAGAUACCCUGGUAGUCCAUGCCGUAAACGAUGAUUACUAGGUGUGGGAGGAUUGACCCCUUCCGUGCCGCAGUUAACACAAUAAGUAAUCCACCUGGGGAGUACGACCGCAAGGUUGAAACUCAAAGGAAUUGACGGGGGCCCGCACAAGCAGUGGAGUAUGUGGUUUAAUUCGAAGCAACGCGAAGAACCUUACCAGGUCUUGACAUCCGAUGCAUAGUGCAGAGAUGCAUGAAGUCCUUCGGGACAUCGAGACAGGUGGUGCAUGGUUGUCGUCAGCUCGUGUCGUGAGAUGUUGGGUUAAGUCCCGCAACGAGCGCAACCCUUAUUGCCAGUUACUACGUAAGAGGACUCUGGCGAGACUGCCGUUGACAAAACGGAGGAAGGUGGGGAUGACGUCAAAUCAUCAUGCCCUUUAUGACCUGGGCUACACACGUACUACAAUGGCGUUUAACAAAGAGAAGCAAGACCGCGAGGUGGAGCAAAACUCAAAAACAACGUCUCAGUUCAGAUUGCAGGCUGCAACUCGCCUGCAUGAAGUCGGAAUUGCUAGUAAUCGCGGAUCAGCAUGCCGCGGUGAAUACGUUCCCGGGCCUUGUACACACCGCCCGUCACACCAUGAGAGCCGGGGGGACCCGAAGUCGGUAGUCUAACCGCAAGGAGGACGCCGCCGAAGGUAAAACUGGUGAUUGGGGUGAAGUCGUAACAAGGUAGCCGUAUCGGAAGGUGCGGCUG